rnacentral:tRNA from 1 species
GGAAGGUUAGUCUAACUGGCAAGGCAGCGGUCUAGAAAACAGCCGGGCGCAAGUCCCAUACAGGUUCGAGCCCUGUACCUUCCGCCA